rnacentral:rRNA from 1 species
CGGGUGAGUAAUGUCUGGGAAACUGCCUGAUGGAGGGGGAUAACUACUGGAAACGGUAGCUAAUACCGCAUAACGUCGCAAGACCAAAGAGGGGGACCUUAGGGCCUCUUGCCAUCGGAUGUGCCCAGAUGGGAUUAGCUAGUAGGUGGGGUAACGGCUCACCUAGGCGACGAUCCCUAGCUGGUCUGAGAGGAUGACCAGCCACACUGGAACUGAGACACGGUCCAG